UGAUAAACUACAUGUAGCAAAUACAUCAUGUCCAUCGACUUGUAUUUGUAAGGAUAUAUCAUUAGGGUUCAUUGUAAACUGUACUUUAAAAUCGCUUGGAUAUAUACCAGUCUUACCAAAUGAUACGUACAGCCUGUAAGUAUAUACAAUUUAUUUAUUAAGAACGUUUUACAUAUUCAAAAUAAGCAUUUUACCAUUUUGCAAGAAAAGGGAAACAAUAUUAAUUGCAAGUUAUCAAUUUUGGGUUCUUAAUGCUUGUCAACUUUAUACUUGUUUGGUUAUAUAAUUAUUUUGGUCUGAGCGUAUUAGGUGGACGAAACGCGCGUCUUGCGUAUCAAAUUUUAAGCCCGGUACGUUUGAUAACCAAUUAUAAACAUGUAUUAUCAGAACGACAAAUGUUCUACACAAGAUAUUUUUAUUGAUUGUUGUUAAAGCAAUUCUCUAAUUCUUACACGAUUGAUCCUUUGCCUGGCUUAUUGAUAAUUUUCAUUUAAUCAACGUGUGAAUGUUUUAUUAUGACCUCAUAAAGACUAUACAGAUACUACUUUUUGGCACCUCCCACUGCCUGCCUACUUUUUGUUAAUGCUGUUGACGAAAUAUGUAUGAAAGUUUAGUGGCCAUUGCAUGUAUAUAAGAGUUGCAUUCCAAUGGAGUAUUUGUAAUUUGGUGAAUGUUCCGAUCUCCAAUCUGCAACCCACUUGAUGUUCACAGACAAACAUGAACAAUAGGAAUAACUCUCUUUAUAAUGCCAAUCUACAAGUUAAAAAUUUAAAUGUGUACAUGUACGUGACACACACAAUUUACCAUGCAAAACUGUCAAUCAACAUUGAAUGUCAUGGUUAGUUCGAAAUUCGAAAGAGUAGGGCACAUCAUAUACAUUUGUCUUCAAUCAGACAAUCAUUGCUUUAUCUUUUAUAAGUUGAAAUUAGUUGCUAAAAGAUAUAAUGAUGGUUGACCAUUCAAUAUACCUUUUAUUCGGUGCACCGAUCAUCAGUUGAUUGUAUGAUUUCUUUUAUAUUCCUACGCGGACUUCAAAAAUAAAAUUAACAGAAACUGAUAAAAAAUGCGAUAAAUGUUAGUUUUUUGUCUCUAAGCAAAAUCAAAAUUUAUCACAGAUUAAGACAAAUGUAUAGUUAUUUUCUAUAAAGAGGCAUAUUUUUAUCAUAAAUAUAUCAUUAAUUUUCAAUUGAUUUUCUUCAGUUCUGCAAUGUUAAGAUAUAUAGGGCGCCAUACCUUACAAUAAAUAACAAAGCAAUUUGCUGAACUUUCAAAAUUGAAAGCUUUUCUUUCAACCUGACUAAAACCCGUAAAUAUGUUGGAGUAUGUUAACCAAUCUAGAAUGUAUAGUAUAAGGUUCCGAUAACACUUGAAUGAAAAGUAAAAGAACUAUAUCGAUCUUUAAUCGAAUAUUUGUUUUCAAGAUGCACGAUAUAAGAUCAAACUUGUUCUUUUUAAGUUGCAGUGUAAACGCACUAGAUUAAAUAAGAUCGACCUUGCUUGUUCAAAUAUAAACGCGAGUUGGUCCUUUGAAGAUCGAUUCAAAUGAAGAUUGGAUCAAUUUCGUACAACUGUUAAACGGGGUGUAAGAGAACGAAUUAAAACCAAAAACUUGCUUUAAAUCAACGCACCUUUGGCAUAAUAAAUUAUCAAUAGCACUUAAUUGAUGCCUUCACCAAAUGUUGUUUUUGUGUACUCAAUUAACAGAACUGUACAACUUAAUAAUACAGUAAGUUUCUUUAUUUUCAGAGAUCUCAGCUAUAAUGUCAUUGAACAUAUUCCUUCCAAAGUUUUCAGUAAUUUGACAUCCCUGGAAAGUCUGUA
rnacentral:lncRNA from 1 species